AAAAGACAUUUAUUUGGCUCAUGGUUCUGAAGUCUGUAGAAGCAUGGCACCAGCAUCUGCUUGACUUUUUAUGAGGCCUCAGUAAGCUUAUAAUUAUGGCAGAAGGUGAAGGGGAAGCAGGCAUGUCACAUGGCAAGAGGGAGAACAAGAGAGAUGUCAGGCUGUGUUAAACAACUCUCAUGUGAACUAACAGAGUGAGAAAUCACUCAUGACUUCAAGGACAGCACCAAGACUUUCACAAGGAAUCUGCCUCCAUGACCAAAACACCUCCCACCAAGCUCCACCUCCAACAUUGGGGAUCACAUUUCAACAUGAGACUGGGAGCGGAUGCACAUCCAAACCAUAUCAGGUCUGCUCAGAAGUGGUAACUGCUCUUUCUCUGGAACGGUUGAAGAGGGGAUGGAGCAGAAGCAAUCACCUUGUGCAGCAAUGGAAAUGGUAAAGUGUACCACCUAUAGUGAUAGCGUAUCAUGGGCAAGGGGAUGGUUUUAGAGUGAAACUGAUCUCAGUUUAAUUUCAGUUCUGUUUCUUAUUCCAUGUAUAACUUCGGACAAGGUUAUCUGACUUUCUUGAGUUUCACAUUCGUCAUCUGUAAAGUGGUAAUAACACCUGAAUCCCAAAUUUGUUGUAAGGAUUAGAUCAGGCAAUGUGUGUAAAGGACUUGCUAUAGUUUUUUGGCAUAUAAUAACUUCUCAGUAAAUGGUAGUUGUUAUCAUCAUGACUUGUAUUGCAGUAGCCACACGUGAGAAAAAAGCGUGAUACUGCCUUCUGAUCCACAAGGCAUUCCUCCUUCGAAGAUAAAGUAUACUACUGGGAUCCUUAUUCAAUCUACAGAACACAGAAAAUUAUUUGAGGAACUAUUUUCUCACUUCUCUCAAAAAUGGUAGCUAACCAGUGCCAUCCUUUUUACAGGAGAGAUGUUAAUUCACGAUUUACAAAGAAUAUCUAGGGCAUUAAUUUUCUCCCCUUGAAAAAGGCAGAGUGGCCCCCAACACUCAGUGGAAUAAUGGGCUGAAAAUGUAAUUUUAGAAUCAGUAAUAACGUUUUCAAGACACUUAGAGACAUCUUGGAUUGGCACAAAAUAAAAGAGAAGGUUUUCUUUACAUGUAUCUUUUAACUAUGUUGUGCUUCUAUGGUAGAGAAGACAAUUCUGUGGUUGAAGGACCAAUGGAUCAGAGAUCAGAAGACCGAUUCAACAGCUCACUCCGGGGAUAACUUAGGGCAGUCCCUUAUGUGCCAGCAACUUCUAUGUAUUUAUAAGGAGGAUAACACUCACUCUGUUGAUCUCACUCAGCCUUGGGCAUUUUAAAUUGCAUCAUAUAUUUGGAAGUGCCUUACAAUUUGUAAAGUGCUGUACAAAUCUUAGUGAUUAUGAAGAUGAUUAUUCUGCUUUCCUGCCAUCCGGCUUCCUCCACCAGAUGCCCCUAAUGAGCCCAGAUCUGUACCAGCAACUCAACUGGUUCUGAAAUGAGGACACAUAGUUAGCCAGACUCGAAGACGUCGAUGGAAGAGAGGUGCUCCCCUUGGCUUCCCCCACCAUCUCUGUGUCAAUGAAGAAGGUAGGAGGCUCAGUGUCCACCUGCCUCUCACUUAGCUUAGUAAGAAGAGAGGAAACAUGCUGAUGUCUCAAGGGGCUUCAUUUUAUGGACAAAUGUAUCGGUUUGGGAGUUUUUAAAUGGUCACAUCUUUUCAAUAGCUCAUCAUUUUAUUAUUACUUCUUCUAACCCCCAUUUCCCCAGUUCCUAUGCAGUUUAUCAGCCUCUGUACAUUUAGAAGGCAGCCAAAAUCAUGCUUUUAAGAAGCUUCUAACAAUCAGCAUAUGACUUCAACUACUCUAAAGUUUCCCUUGAUAGUGUCAUGAGGAACUUUCCCUUCAGUCAAAGCUAAUAAAAAUAAGAUGUGGGAGCUGGGCAGAUCUAGUUUGUGAACAUCCGAGAAUUCUUUUAUGAUUUCAUAACAGCAAAGGUGUUAUGUCUUGUGUUCUGAACCCAGGGUUCCCUUCUUUUGAGAAGGUAGCCCCUUAUGUAUGAGUGUGUGGACCCUGGAGUGACUUUGGGAGAGGGUGAAGAGUCAUGAGUGCUCAGCAUCGGGAGAAGAAUAAGGAAAGCAGUAACUACUGAGCCCGUCUCUGUCACUUGGAUCCGUGCCACUGCAUGUCUGCUGGGAUUUUCUGCCUGUGACAAUAAUAAAAUACUAGAUCAGGAAGUGACCUUAAAAAUAAUCUAGGACAACAGUUGAUGUCACUUGCAAAUCAGAUAAAAAUUAUGGAUUCCAUCUCCAGGAAAGAUUUUUAUGUUCACUUUUAGAAGGUUUAUGUAGCUAAGGGUGUGGACUACAGGUUAAGAAACCUUGACUCAGGAGUCCUAUCACCUUAUUUUACACAUGGGAAAACUGAGGACGAGGGGAAGAGACUAAAAUCCAGUUUAAUGAUUCCACAUCUAGUUCUCCUUUAUCUUUCCUUAAAUGUCAGAUUACCUGCAUUAAUCUUGUUUCCUUUCUUACGUGCAGAACCCCAUGAAACCAAACCGAACGAGGAGGUAGGAGAAGAUGACAAAGGGGAAGUAUGUGGCAUCCCCCACUUCUAAGUUAUGCAACCAGGAAACACAGGCAGAGCCUGUACCAACAGCAGUAAUGAACUCAAUCAACUUGUUGAAAAACAUUUCAGUUAUUUUAAACAAAAAUACUACAUCAUUCAUGUUUUCAGUUAUUUUAGGCAAAACACCAAAUCAUUCCUGUUUUUCAAUUCAAUUAAUCAGCUCAUGCUGUAUUGCAGUUAAUUUUCCUUGUUUUUAUAUAGUCACUAGCAUAUAAAAACAUGCUUUUUAAAUAUGCUUUUAUUUGUUUUCUACAAGUAACUAGCUGAAUCAAAGGUCAGAGUUUAAGGAAAUUAUUUUGUUGACAACAUUACAUAUUUACUGAAUCUCAUCUUUAUCCUGGCACUAUCCCUGCCUGAUGGGUUUAUAGACAGAAAUGUCACAGAUUUGGAAGGCUUUUCAAUGCUAUGAGAUUACUAUGGAUUAAAUCCUUGUCUAACUGGUUUUGUUUUUUCAGCCUGAGAUGAUAGUGAGAUGGAGAGGAAAGAUGGGGAUAUAAUCAUUCAUGGGCCAAAGUUUGUUUCUUAUCACACAGUCAACAUGUCAUUGGCAGAAGGUGGAACAGUCACUCCUGACAUUUUUCUGCUUCUUUUGUAGGAGGACUUCAUUAGGAGCCAGAAGCCCCUCACAGCUCACCUAAUCACUGGCUCUCAACAACUAUGUGCUUUACAGGGCCUGCAUAAGGAGGCUACCUAUAAGGAGAAGAAGCUGAGUUUCAUUUUGCUACUGAGAAACACACAAAGGAUGGAUGGCCUUUAACUUCCUAAGCGUUGCACCUGAGAGCAGAAGAAAUUGCCAGAUCCCUGCUGAUUUAUGAAAUGCAUUUCAAAGCCACAGAACUACCAUUUUAGGCAUUGCAGCAUAAUUUAAUUGGCAUUAUUUUUCUUACUGGUCCAGAAAAUAAUGGUGUGAUUUACAAAUGUUGAUGUCUUCAAUUUGAUCAAACACUGUGUUUAAAAUUGUAUACCUCUUACUGCUGAUCUACUUUAUCCUGCUCUACUGAACUAUAUAAUUCACUAAUUUACUCUAAAUUUACCAUCAGUCUCCUUCAGCUGAAGAUGAGCUCCCUGAAGGCAAGCAUCUUUGUUUAUUCAUCGUAGGGUCUAGAAAAACCAAUGUUCAAUACAUAAUUGUUGAAUGAAUUAAUGACUGAAGGAAUUGGAUUGUAACCCCUACUUGAAUGUAAUUUUACACUUACCCUUGUGACCUUGGUAGAACUAAUAGCCCUGCCUUUGUCAGGCUGGCAGCUUUAUGGCAAAUCUACAUUUUGAGUGUGUAGGAAGACUGGCCAAGGGACAAUAUCAAAGGCUAGUACCACAGCCCUAAAGCAAUAAUGAAGAAUGACAUAGAUAGUUUCUAGUGAUGAGUCUGUAUAUAUAGGAGGGAGGUGGGCAUUGGGACGAGGAAGGAAUCAAUGAUUAUUCUCUUACAGCCAUGGAUAUGGUCAAAUGUGUGGAAUGAAUAGAUGAGUAAAUGCAACAUUUGAAAAUUUCUCCAAAUAUGAUUUUUUAUCAUGUACUAAUGGUUAUAUUUUUAAAGUGGUAAUCUCAUUACCUCUCCAAGACCAAGCAAGGCAUCAAUCAAAUGAUGUGAGAAGCAAAUUCAUGCAUUAACUUAACCAUGAAAGCAAGCAGUGGCUCGUGUGCCAUGAAAAGAAUUCAGAUUCGAAGGAAUGAGAAUCAGGCAGCAGGCUGAGUAAAUAUUCUCACAAUCAGAGCUUGACCUAGUGAUAAAUUAAGCAUACUCUACUUUUCCUUUAGUCUUCAUUUAUUUUUGCUUAAGUUUGUGGGGGAUAUGCUGGCUUAAUUUGCAUCUGAUGAUUGUAUUUCUUCUUGGGAGAAAUGGAACAAGUGACUAAUACCUACCAGGUGGACGGCAGGUAGGCAGAGGUGAAUGGAAGCAGAGCCAACACAUUUUCUGUGUCAAGUACAAUUCCCCAGGCUGAAUUAUAUUUCAAAUUUGUUUGCAUUGGUUCUUUCAUUAUCUCUUACACAAAUAGAGCUGAAAAACCAGAUGGUUAAGUACAGAAUACCGUGAUAUGAUGACUUGUAGACACAAGGGGUCAGCAUUUGAACGCAGAUGAUUUGGUCGAAGUCUUGCCUUGUUCCUUUCUGCUGCUCUACCUCUGCCUUGAUGUGCUUCUGUGUGUGAGGGUAGAUAGGGAAAUGAAAUUCAAUUUGUAUUUUGCAAAUCGCUUUCUUUUCCAGUUUAGAAUUUUGAGAUCUCCCUUUUAGAUUUUAUCAGUCUGUUAUUGUCAUAGGAGAUGACAUCUAACAAUGAAUCUUACCAGUCUCACUGGCCCCAAUGGUUUCAGCAAACUUCAGUGACCUCCAGAUACAUGCUAAUUUUCCUCUUCCCAAAAGAGCUUCUUAACCUGAAGAGUCCCUAAUCUAUGCUUGCUUAAUACAUGUAUUGGAUGAUACACUAUUUUACUGAUGUAAAUCUGCCCAAAACAAGAGAUACGUGGUUAGAGAGAUUGUAUCUUGAUUCUGAGCUUAUUCUGAGCUUUUGACUUCGCAUUGGGCUCCAUUAUAAUUGCUGUCUUUGAUCUGUCCUUUCAUUUUCUACAUCUAACUCAGGGCAAAUGCAUGCUACAGUAUCUCUUAAGAAACACUAUAUUAUUCCCAAAAUUAAAAAUUAUUACAUACAGUAAAAUUCACUUUUUUGGGUGCACAGUUCCUUAGCUGGGUGUCUCUGGCUCAAGAUCUCAUGAAGCUAUAAUUAAGAUGUCAGACAGAGCUGCUCUCCCAUCUGAAGGUAUAACUGAGGGAGAAUCCACAUUUGCUCCUGUGGCUACGUGUGGGAUUCAGUUCCUCAUGGACUGUUGGACUGGGGACUUCAGUUCCCUGCUGGCUAUUGCUGGAGGCUUCCCUCAGUUCCUUGUCAUGUCCCCACAGGCAGAGUAACCCAGGUGACACAGCUUGUUUCCACGCAGGUGAGAAAGCAAGAGACUGAGAGCAAGAUUAAACUCAGGGUGUUUUUUCUAACCCAUGUAGAAGUGACAUCGCGUCAUGUUUGCUGUAUUCUAUUUAUUGGAUGCAAAAGUAGAGAGGAUUACGCAACGCUGUGAACAUCAGAAAGCAGGGAUCAUUGGGGACCAUUUUAGAGGCUGCCACCAUAAAGGCUGUCACAAUGAUCCAAUUGAGAAAUGAUGGAGUUUGAAUUUGGGUGGUGUCAGUAGGCUAGCAUCCUCUGAUUGUAAAAUAUGUGUGACAUUUAGAAGAAUAAAAUUGCUAAAACGUGAUGGUUGAUUGGCUAUGGUAGAUAAAGGAACAAAAAUUUUUGAAGAAGACUCCAGAUUUCAAGCUUGAGCUCCUGAGUAGAUGGCAGUAUUCUUCACUUAUAAUGAUAUCCUGCAGGAAGGGAGAGAUCGUGACUGCUGUUUUGGGCAUAUUAGCUUGCAAGUACCUGUGAGGUAUCUAAUUUGAAUGUCAGGCAGGUGGUUAGAUAUUCAGAUUUCGAACUCAUAAGAAAGUUGUGGGUCAGAUAAUAGAUUUAGGUUUUGUCACCAUAUUGAAGCCUGUCUUAGGUCCAGUUUCUAGGAGCACAAAUUUCCCAAAUAACAAAUGAGUCAGUAGGAAUGAAGUGAAUGGACUCUUUCUAGUUCUACCCCUUGACUCCUGUAUUCAUAUAUUCUACCACUGGAUUCUACCAUUGGAUACACAGUACCACAUAAUGACCAUUGGUAUAAGGUAUAUACUACAUCCUAAAGCAACACCAAACCCUCAUAAUGUAUUGUCUCUAAGCUGGCACGUUAGUUGUGACUUUAAGAAACUGUUCCAAUCUCUAUCAGAAUAGCAAUGUCUGGGCUAUACAGUAUGUGGGAAUUGGUGGAUUCCAUACUCACACACCUGUUCUGUGACCCCCCUCUGUCAUAAGUUGGCUUCUUGGUCUGAUGCAAUAUUGUUCAGGAUUCCAUGUCAGUAAAUCAAGUACUCUGUGAGUCUUUGAAUAGUAGGUGUGAAUUGAGGCACUGUGGGCAGAAAGGCAAACCUAUACCCAGAAAAUAUGCUAUUGCUGGAUAAAACAAAUAACUUCCCUUUUCAGGGUAGAAAAGGAAUUAUUUGCAACUAAAUGGUGUCUUCUUGAGAGACGGUAGCAUACUGGGCAUCUUUCAGACAGGUAUGAGCAGUGGCAGUAACUAGAUCAGCAUUGGUGGGAGGGAGACCCUUCCACUGGGCUCAUGCCUCCAUUUGAAUAUCCAUGACUAUUCUUUGAGGAGGCCCAAUGUGCCAGCCUUGGUGUGGCCAGGGCUACCUGACAUUUACCAGUUAAGUCAUCCUGUCCAACCAGUUUUAUAGAACCUCUUCUAGAGUCAAUACUCCCUAAUGGACGUUAAUGCAUGAUACACAGUUUGCCCAUUCCUGUAGAUCCAUGAACCUGUUUCUACUCCCGAUCUCUUUGUUGCCAAUCUUCCGAUCCAAAUGGUCCAAUUCCAAAUGAUCCACUCUGCACUGCUCAGAAGUCCAUGCUUAUCCUUCCUUCAAGCGACUCUCUUCACACAAAGUGGGUGACCAGGUGCACUCCUGUUCAAAGCUGGGACCUCUGUCAUGCAGCAGCAGGCUAUUUUUGUUUAUACUAGUGUACCAAGCUGGUCUAUCUGUGAAUCAGACCUUGGUUUUUUCUCUCCUUCAUCACUGGUGGGUCCUCAGUUAUAAUAUAGAACUAUUUUGGCAUACCCACAUCUUGGGCUUUUGAAUCUCUUCCUUAGAACUCUGGUAAGACUACUCUGGUAUCUCCACCUCAUUUAAUGUGAGUCAGCCUUAUCACUCCACACCAAGUUCUUAAGAGUCAUCCCAGCGAUGGAAUAAGACUGGUUCUAAACCCCACAGGAAGUCCUCUGAGGGUCACUGGGAGCAAAAGUGAACUAAAACCAGGGAAGAGGCACAGAGACUGGUAAAGAUGAUUUGAAGAGAGCUGUGCAGCCACUAACCAUGUCUACUGUAAAGCCAUCAGGGUGGAUGACAUGGAGAGAGGGUGAAGUGAGAAGAGCACAAUACUUCAGACAGAGCCCUCCCUACAAAACCCCAAAACCCCAAUAGUUAAUGAUUAAUAGAGAAAAUAUUGCCUACAAAUAAGACAGAAAUCGAGUUGCAAAAGAUGAUGCCAGACAGUGUUUUAAGUAAAGGAUUAUUUCACUGAACUGGCAGAUGCUGAGUCAUUAAGUAAGCUGAAAGUUCAAAUGCAUUCACUGGAUGUAGUAUAAUGGAGGUCAAUGAUGACCUUGGCAAGGGCAGUGUCAGUGGGAUGGUGGGCCCAGGAGCCAGAUUUAGAGUGAAGACUGGGAGGAAAGUAAAGAAAACCAAAUAAAGAAAGGUAACAGAAGAGGAAAGGGAAGAAAUAAGAUGAUGGAUUGGAAGGACUAUCAGAUUAAGGGAAUAUUUUAUUCUAUUCUCUGUUUUGAUUUUAAGUUUGGAGAGACAUGAAUAAUGCUAGUUUGAAGGAGGUCUGGGAGAGAGAGAGAGGGAGAGAGAAAGAGAGGGAGAGAUAGAGAGAGAGAUUCGUUGGUGCCUGAUUCCUAAGGAGAAGACUCUAGGGAAAAAAGAUUCUAAGUCCAGAUGAAGGAAUUGCUUUUGAUGAUAAGGAACAAUCUCCAUAUUGCAACAGAAAGGUGGAGAGAAUGAUAGUUUUGGGAUUUGAUGGUGGGAAGUUGAGACUAUAUAGUUCCAAUCAGAUGGUUUAUUUUCCCCCAGUAGAAGACAGGGUCAUUUGGUAAGAGUUCAUGGGUUGGACAAAGUACAAGGAUUGAGGAUGGUGGACAGUGUCUGAAAGAAAGGACAGAUGGUAUACAGAGGUGGCAGAUGGCAAUGGCAAUGAGGAAGAUAGAGACUGUAAAGCUAGACUCAGCAGGUCCAGGAUUUACAGAGGCUGGAAAAAUAUUGUCUGGAACGUGAACCCACUUGCAGCCCUGAGAUACUUGGGGGAUUAGGAAAUAUGCCACUUCUAUCAAAAGGGCUGUAACAGAAGUGGUGUUCCACAUGGGAAGUUAGGGUUAAUUAUGAGCAGAAAGUGCAAGGAAGACAAGUUGUGGGAAUGUAGAAGAAUUGUUUAUCAUAGAACUGGGGUUUCUGAAGAAUAAAAUGAAGAUUUGGGGAGUUUGGGAAGGGUUGGGACAGGGAUUAAGUCAGGAAGGAGAAAACAUAGAAGAUUACACAAACCAGCAAAAUAUUCUAUAAUUUUUUUUCCUGAUCUUUCUCUCUCAUUUUUCUUUUCAACCAACAAGGACACUAUUUUUUUUUUUUACUAGUUAUCAGUAUAAACUGUUUCCUAUCCAAAGAAAUUCAAUUGGAACAAUUUGCAAAAUUGAACUAAAAUAAAUCUUAACUGGAAUUUAAGUUGACUGGUUGCUCUGGUCUAAACUGAGAUAUUGCUUUUAAGAAUAUAUUCAUGUUUGGGCAUUAAUAGUUCACCAUUUUGCUGUGAUUAUAAUUAAAUAUUAUUAACUUCUCUCUCCUUGACCUCACUGUGGCAUGAUUAUUUUGCUGUAAUUUUAAAAAGAUCUACUUUUAGCCUUUGGAUGCAACACAUGUAACUGUUCAUCAAGGAUCAACUGCAGAUAUUUUUGUCUUUCAUAUCUAUCAAGAGGCCUAAUUGUUAUCAUGAGUCUAUUAAAAGCUCUUUGGAGUCAGCAAGACAUUUACACUUAUAAGGAAGAGUAGAUAAAUUUGUAUCUUUCAAAAUAAGAGGAUGUUAGCUGCUGAAAAAAUUUCACUAUUUUCAAUUGCAUACUUCAAUGAACAUAAGAAGGUGCACUGGAAAAUAAAGACUAAAAAGUAGAUUGACCUGUAGUUGUUGAGGAAAGGGUGUGCUUAGGAACUGGACAUUAUUCUGUAAGUGAUAGGGAACCAGUAAACUCCUUUCUGUAUGUGUAACUUUCACCAUCAGAACUGAGCUUUAGUAAAAUAGCUGCUAUGUGGAAGUUGGAAUGGAGAGAGAGAAAUUGGAGGCAAGAAGGAAAGGAAUAAGCUAGUUCAGGGGCUUAGGUGAGAAAUAACAUGAGUCUAAUCUACACAAAUGACCAGGAAUAGAAACGUGGUGAUGGAGUAAACUGGAUAGAUAAUGCACACUUGAUUGGAAAUCGACUAAACUGCUUGAUUUGUCAAAUUAUACUGGAAAGGUCAUAAUUCCUGGCCUCAUGUUUGUAAGCCAAAAAGUGUCGGAGACAGGUCUCAAUCAAUUUAGAAAGUUUAUUUUGCCAAGGUUAAUGACGUGUGCCCAGGAGGCAAGUUUGUGCCUUUCUCCAAAGAUAAUUUUAAGGGCUUCAGUGUUUAAAGGGAAAAGGCAAAUAUUGGGGAAAGAGAAAUAAAUUGUUAGAAGAUGUGGGUAGAUAAGAGACAAACAU